rnacentral:rRNA from 1 species
GAUGAACGCUGGCGGCGUGCCUAAUACAUGCAAGUCGAGCGAACGGACGAGAAGCUUGCUUCUCUGAUGUUAGCGGCGGACGGGUGAGUAACACGUGGAUAACCUACCUAUAAGACUGGGAUAACUUCGGGAAACCGGAGCUAAUACCGGAUGAUAUUUUGAACCGCAUGGUUCAAAAGUGAAAGACGGUCUUGCUGUCACUUAUAGAUGGAUCCGCGCUGCAUUAGCUAGUUGGUAAGGUAACGGCUUACCAAGGCAACGAUGCAUAGCCGACCUGAGAGGGGGAUCGGCCACACUGGAACUGAGACACGGUCCAGACUCCUACGGGAGGCAGCAGUAGGGAAUCUUCCGCAAUGGGCGAAAGCCUGACGGAGCAACGCCGCGUGAGUGAUGAAGGUCUUCGGAUCUUAAAACUCUGUUAUUAGGGAAGAACAUAUGUGUAAGUAACUGUGCACAUCUUGACGGUACCUAAUCAGAAAGCCACGGCUAACUACGUG